rnacentral:rRNA from 1 species
UACGUAGGAGGCGAGCGUUGUCCGGAAUUACUGGGCGUAAAGCGUGCGCAGGCGGUUCGUGAUGUCUGGUGUGAAAGCCCCGGGCUUAACCUGGGAAUUGCAUUGGAAACUAGCGGGCUGGAGUGUGGCAGAGGGGGGUGGAAUUCCACGUGUAGCAGUGAAAUGCGUAGAGAUGUGGAGGAACACCGAUGGCGAAGGCAGCCCCCUGGGCUAACACUGACGCUCAUGCACGAAAGCGUGGGGAGCAAACAGG